rnacentral:rRNA from 1 species
GACGAACGCUGGCGGCGUGCUUAAUACAUGCCAGUCGAACGGAAAGGCCCUGCUUUUGUGGGGUGCUCGAGUGGCGAACGGGUGAGUAACACGUGAGUAACCUGCCCUUGACUUUGGGAUAACUUCAGGAAACUGGGGCUAAUACCGGAUAGGAGCUCCUGCUGCAUGGUGGGGGAUGGAAAGAUUCGGCGGUUGGGGAUGGACUCGCGGCUUAUCCGCUUGUUGGUGGGGUAGUGGCUUACCAAGGCUUCGACGGGUAGCCGGCCUGAGAGGGUGACCGGCGACAUUGCGACUGAGAUACGGACCAGACUCCUACGGGAGGCAGCAGUGGAGAGUAUUGCACAGUAGGCGGAAGCCUGAUGCGGCGACGCCGCGUGCGGAAUGACGGCCUUCGGGUUGUAAACCGCUUUCGCAUGUGACGAGGCGUGAGUGACGGUAAUGGGUAAAGAAGCACCGGCUAACUACGUG